AUGCCAGGCAAUUCCAAAGGUGAAAACGCAGCCAACUGGCUCACGGCAAAGAGUGGUCGGAAGAAGCGCUGCCCCUACACGAAGCACCAGACACUGGAGCUGGAGAAGGAGUUUCUGUUCAAUAUGUACCUUACUCGAGAGCGGCGCCUAGAGAUUAGCCGCAGCGUCCACCUCACGGACAGACAAGUGAAAAUCUGGUUUCAGAACCGCAGGAUGAAACUGAAGAAAAUGAAUCGAGAAAACCGGAU
rnacentral:lncRNA from 1 species